rnacentral:pre_miRNA from 1 species
AAUCACAUGGAAACUUUUCUGCACAAACUAGACUACUGAAACCAGUGUGCAGAGGGGCUCUUAUUGCAUU